rfam:Schistosoma margrebowiei strain Zambia genome assembly, scaffold: SMRZ_contig0000323
GCACUGCUGAGGAGCCCAAUACUAGGACGAAACGAUCGUCCAGUGC